rnacentral:sRNA from 1 species
CUCUGUAAAGUAAUGCUUCCUAUAUUUGUUUGCUGUUAGAGUUCAAAACAGUAUAAAUCAUUAUAAAUUAAUCUCUUCAUGCUUAGCACUGAAAAGUAUGUAUACAGAAAUACCAUUAAAAUAGCAUUGACUGUAUGUGCCACAGAACAGUGUAUUUCAGAUAUAUAUUUUACAUUGUAGUAAUAUUAACAUGGAGAUCCAAUGGAUACUUUAUAUAUAAGUAACAAAUAUAUUAUUUUUAAAUGUUUUAUGAAAUAAUACCAUUAGAAUGUAAUACAUUCUAAUAUUUUAUUGUUUCACAUAAUAAAUAUUGUUUUGACACUCCCCCAAUUGAUUUCAUAUACCAGUCAGUUGCCAUGUAUAGUUUGAAAAAUGCUUGCCUAAAAUGAACAUGAGUUGGGAGAUGUAAUUCAGUUGUUUAAGGCAAAACAAAUAUCAAAUAAGACCCUCUUUAUUAUAUAGUCUACAGUACUGUGUGUAUUAUGCAUUGGUCUUCAGAUUGUAUUUAUAUAACCAUACAUACUGUACUUUUAAUAGGUUAUUUAAAGCACUUUAAAGAGUAAUUUUGCUUAUGUGUAAUUUAUGUUGACUUUGGAAUUAACUUUUAUUUAUACUGCAAUUCCACCAUAUAUCUUUCAUGGCUCUGUUAUUUCUUGGCAAAACGUUAACAGAAAGAAAUAAUGAAAUAUCUUUUUUACAGGUUAAUUACCAUGCUCAGCAUUACCAUCUCACUCCAUUUACAGUCAUCAAUAUUAUGUACAGUUUCAACAAAACUCAGGGACCUAGAGCCCUGUGGAAAGGAAUGGGAAGUACAUUUAUUGUCCAGGGAGUCACACUUGGAGCAGAAGGCAUAAUUAGUGAAUUUACACCUUUGCCAAGGGAGGUUUUACAUAAAUGGAGUCCUAAACAAAUAGGAGAACACCUUCUACUGAAAUCCCUAACUUACGUGGUGGCAAUGCCUUUUUAUUCAGCAAGUCUGAUUGAAACAGUGCAGAGUGAGAUAAUUCGAGAUAAUACUGGCAUUUUGGAAUGUGUUAAAGAAGGAAUUGGGAGAGUGAUAGGCAUGGGAGUGCCUCAUAGCAAACGACUUCUUCCGCUUCUUUCCUUGAUCUUCCCUACAGUGCUUCAUGGAGUUCUUCAUUACAUCAUCAGCUCACUUAUUCAGAAGUUUGUCCUACUAAUUCUAAAGAGAAAGACUUACAAUAGCCACCUAGCUGAGAGCACUAGCCCUGUGCAGAGUAUGUUGGAUGCUUAUUUUCCAGAACUUAUUGCUAACUUUGCUGCCAGUCUUUGUUCUGACGUUAUACUUUACCCACUGGAAACAGUUUUGCACCGCCUUCACAUUCAAGGAACACGCACAAUAAUUGACAAUACAGACCUUGGCUAUGAAGUGCUUCCAAUUAAUACACAGUAUGAGGGAAUGAGAGACUGUAUCAAUACCAUAAA